UACGUAGGGUGCAAGCGUUGUCCGGAAUUAUUGGGCGUAAAGAGCUCGUAGGCGGUUUGUCGCGUCUGCUGUGAAAACUCGGGGCUUAACUCCGGGCCUGCAGUGGGUACGGGCAGACUAGAGUGCGGUAGGGGAGACUGGAAUUCCUGGUGUAGCGGUGAAAUGCGCAGAUAUCAGGAGGAACACCGGUGGCGAAGGCGGGUCUCUGGGCCGUAACUGACGCUGAGGAGCUAAAGCGUGGGGAGCGAACAGG
rnacentral:rRNA from 1 species